AUACGUAGGGUGCGAGCGUUGUCCGGAAUUACUGGGCGUAAAGAGCUCGUAGGUGGUUUGUCGCGUCGUCUGUGAAAUUCCGGGGCUUAACUCCGGGCGUGCAGGCGAUACGGGCAUAACUUGAGUACUGUAGGGGAGACUGGAAUUCCUGGUGUAGCGGUGAAAUGCGCAGAUAUCAGGAGGAACACCGGUGACGAAGGCGGGUCUCUGGGCAUUAACUGACUCUGAGGGGCGAAAGCAGGGGUAGCGAACAGGAUUGCAUACCCUGGUAGUCCAUGCCGUAAACGGUGGGCGCUAGGUGUAGGGGUCUUCCACGACUUCUGUGCCGUAGCUAACGCAUUAAGCGCCCCGCCUGGGGAGUACGGCCGCAAGGCUAAAACUCAAAUGAAUUGACGGGG
rnacentral:rRNA from 1 species